UCAGGAGGGCGGAGAAUCGCCUCCGCUAUGGUGGCAUCGACUGUAGCGGGGGAGGAAAGUCCGAACACCGCAGGGCACGAUGCCACACAACCACAUGGUAGCAGCUGGACGGCUCCGGCUGGGGCAUGUGGGUAAGUGUGGGCGGUUACACCGUGAGGUGUACCGACGGAAAGUGCCACAGAAAACAGACCGCCUGGUGAACACCCGAAUAAAGGUGUUCACCCGGUAAGGGUGAAAAGGUGGGGUAAGAGCCCACCGCUCCUUCCCGUAAGGGGGGAGGCACGGCAAACCCCAUCGGGUGCAAGGCCAAAUAGGAAACCCAUGGAGUGGCCCGCUCCAAGCCAUCCAAUAAAAGGAUGGCGGGGUUUCGGGUAUGGCCGCGUCAGACAAAUGAUUCUCUCCCUCGUGUGGUGCGCUGGUAACAUCAGACCGCGCGAGGUAGACAGAAUUCGGCUUACAGCCCUCCUGAAACC
rnacentral:RNase_P_RNA from 1 species